rnacentral:rRNA from 1 species
UACGGGGGGGUAAGCGUUGUUCGGAAUUACUGGGCGUAAAGGGCUCGUAGGCGGCCAACUAAGUCAUACGUGAAAUCCCUCAGCUUAACUGGGGAACUGCGUGUGAUACUGGAUGGCUUGGAUUUGGGAGAGGGAUGCGGAAUUCCAGGUGUAGCGGUGAAAUGCGUAGAUAUGGGGAGGAACACCGGUGGCGAAGGCGGCCACCUGGACGGUAACUGACGCUGAGACGCGAAAGCGUGGGGAGCAAACAGG